GACGAACGCUGGCGGCGUGCUUAACACAUGCAAGUCGAACGGAAAGACCCUGCUUUUGUGGGGUGCUCGAGUGGCGAACGGGUGAGUAACACGUGAGUAACCUGCCCUUGACUUUGGGAUAACUUCAGGAAACUGGGGCUAAUACCGGAUAGGAGCUCCUGCUGCAUGGUGGGGGUUGGAAAGUUUCGGCGGUUGGGGAUGGACUCGCGGCUUAUCAGCUUGUUGGUGGGGUAGUGGCUUACCAAGGCUUUGACGGGUAGCCGGCCUGAGAGGGUGACCGGCCACAUUGGGACUGAGAUACGGCCCAGACUCCGACGGGAGGCAGCGGUGGGGAAUAUUGCACAAUGGGCGGAAGCCUGAUGCAGCAACGCCGCGUGCGGGAUGACGGCCUUCGGGUUGUAAACCGCUUUCGCCUGUGACGAAGCGUGAGUGACGGUAAUGGGUAAAGAAGCACCGGCUAACUACGU
rnacentral:rRNA from 1 species